UUCUAUUUUUUUCCCCCGCUCCCCCACCCCCCUCCCUCCUGCGCACCCCCGCUCCUAAGCCGAGUGAAUUGAAGCGGACGCCGCGCGGCUCCACCGGCCGCUCUGCCCCUCGGGCUCCCCAGCCGGGGUGGCUACUGGGGGGGGGGGGGGCGACGCAGCUUUAAACAGUGGUCUUUUUUUCCUUUGCCUUCAAGGAGGGGAGAUUUCUCGCCUGCCGCUCGCGCUGGGGCUCGAUGUGAAUAUAUAUUAUGUCUGCCUGUUCUCCCCUCGUCGGUGGCUAAGCGCCCAAACUUGCUGCCCUCCGCCCGGUGUGCUUGGAACCUGCCGCCGCUAGCCGUUGAGGCGUCCUGAACGCUUUCUCUUCGCCUCCUUGGGCCAGCAUAGCUAGUCACCAGCCACCGCGGCAGCAGUGGCCGAGACAGCCCGGAGGCGGCAGCCAGGGGCUAGCUCUGUCCACAAACCUCCCGGCCCUUUCUCGCCGCCAGCGGAGUCUCCAUUCUUUCCUGUUACGUCUCUGGCUUCUCCGCUUCCCACACUCGCCUGGCCUCUGUCCUGCGAUGGUUUGCAGGUUUAUUGCAGGGGGAACGACAGGAAUUUCGGCCCCAGGCGUCUAGUCAGAUUAUUGCUUUAUCAUCAUCAUCACCAUCAUCAUCAUCAUCAUCAUCAUCAUUACUGCUGUAACAAUCAUUUAGACUAAAUAAAGCCAGGGCCCAGCCAGCCAACCCCUUCCAA